GCCUGGGUGGCUCAGUCGGUUGAGCGUCCGACUUCGGCUCAGGUCAUGAUCUCACAGUCUGUGGGUUUGAGUCUCGCGUCAGGCU
rnacentral:tRNA from 1 species